rnacentral:rRNA from 1 species
UUUGAAAUCUGGCGUCUUUGGCGUCCGAGUUGUAAUUUGAAGAAGGUAUCUUUGGGCCCGGCUCUUGUCUAUGUUCCUUGGAACAGGACGUCACAGAGGGUGAGAAUCCCGUGCGAUGAGAUGACCCGGGUCUGUGUAAAGUUCCUUCGACGAGUCGAGUUGUUUGGGAAUGCAGCUCUAAGUGGGUGGUAAAUUCCAUCUAAAGCUAAAUAUUGGCGAGAGACCGAUAGCGAACAAGUACAGUGAUGGAAAGAUGAAAAGAACUUUGAAAAGAGAGUGAAAAAGUACGUGAAAUUGUUGAAAGGGAAGGGCUUGAGAUCAGACUUGGUAUUUUGCAUGCUGCUCUCUCGGGGGCGGCCGCUGCGGUUUACCGGGCCAGCAUCGGUUUGGAGCGGCAGGAUAAUGGCGGAGGAAUGUGGCACGGCUUCUGCUGUGUGUUAUAGCCUCUGACGAUACUGCCAGCCUAGACCGAGGACUGCGGUUUUUACCUAGGAUGUUGGCAUAAUGAUCUUAAGUCGCCCGUCUUGAAACACGGACCAAGGAGUCUAACGUCUAUGCGAGUGUUUGGGUGUAAAACCCGUACGCGUAAUGAAAGUGAACGAAGGUGGGGGCCCAUUAGGGUGCACCAUCGACCGAUCCUGAUGUGUUCGGAUGGAUUUGAGUAAGAGCAUAGCUGUUGGGACCCGAAAGAUGGUGAACUAUGCCUGAAUAGGGUGAAGCCAGAGGAAACUCUGGUGGAGGCUCGUAGCGGUUCUGACGU